rnacentral:SRP_RNA from 1 species
GCCGGGUGUGGUGGUGUGCACCUGUAAUCCCAGCUACAAUGGAGGCUGAGGCAGAAGAAUCGCUUGAACCCAGGAGGCACAGGUUGCAGUGAGCCGAGAUCAUGCCACUGCACUCCAGCCUGGGUGACAGAGGGAGACUCUGUCUCAA